CGCACUUCCUCCAUGCUGUGCCCUAUCAUUACGGGUCCCAGGAGGCUGCUGCUCUGCUUGGUGGUUGCCUGGCCUGGGGAGAGGGGCUGCCUAGUGCCACCUGUGUGAUGGCAUGUGUGCGAGUCAUCCCUGGUCACCUGCUCACUCACCUGUGUUUUUGUUUUUAGCUCUAAGCAACAGACAUGACGCCUAAGGCUGGACUGGGUGUCCGAGGCACGUGGUCUCUGACUAGACCAUGUCAUCGCCGGAGCCCGAACUGCUGCAGACACCAUGGCUCAGCCUGAACUAUGCACGAGUUUCACUGAUGAGAGUGAAAUGGUGCUCAGGGUGCCCAUCUUGGCACCCUACCACAUCUGUGCAAAGCCAUGUUAGCAGUUUCCUUCUUGGAGGCUGCUUGGUGUCCGAGGUCUGUCUGUUCCUUCAGUUCUCUGCCAACAGAGAGUGUCACAAGUGUUUGACAAGCUGCAUUUUCAUAGCUGUUGAGAGUGGCUUGACAUUAAGAAGACUCUUCUCUGCACACUGCAUGGCCCCUGCUGAGGGCGGGCAGGCAAGCUGACCCUGGUCCUCCCGUCCCUCUGACAGCAGGUGCUAGUGUGAUUGGGGCUCCAUGGGUUGCUUCUGUUUUCCUUCAUCUCUAAAGCACUCCAGGCUUCUGCAAGGGAGAGCUCUGGACUUGAGGUUUGCUUUUUUUUGGUGAUGGCAUGUUCAGAAUCUUGGAUCCCUAAGUUGGCUAUAUUGGAGAUGCUUAGGAAGCCCGGACACUGUUACUGUAUAUAUCGAGACCUUUUAUUAGAGGAAUGUGUAGGUUUAAUAAAAGGUAUACGUGGAA